rnacentral:lncRNA from 1 species
CGAGCGUUGUGUGGCUUCGUAGGGAGGACGAGCGAGCGUGUGUUUCCGCCGUUUCGACGUCGCGCCAAUGUUGGUUUAGCGUAUCGUGGUGGGUUAAUCGUUAGUUUGGCUUCUAAGUAUAUAGAGAUAGUCCGCAUGUGUCGUUGUAGUUGUUUUUGCAUAUUUUAAUUGCUCGAUUCGCGGAUUUGGUGUUUCUUUUAUGAAAAAUCUGAAUUGGAGCUUAGUG